rnacentral:rRNA from 1 species
UACGUAGGGGGCAAGCGUUAUCCGGAUUUACUGGGUGUAAAGGGAGCGUAGACGGAUGGAUAAGUCUGAAGUGAAAGCCCGCGGCUCAACUGCGGGACUGCUUUGGAAACUGUGCAUCUUGAGUACGGGAGGGGCAGGCGGAAUUCCUGGUGUAGCGGUGAAAUGCGUAGAUAUCAGGAGGAUCACCGGCGGCGAAGGCGGCCUGCUGGACCGAAACUGACGUUGAGGCUCGAAAGCGUGGGGAGCAAACAGG